rnacentral:rRNA from 1 species
AUUGAACGCUGGCGGCAUGCUUUACACAUGCAAGUCGAACGGUAACAGGCCUUCGGGCGCUGACGAGUGGCGAACGGGUGGGUAAUGCAUCGGAACGUGCCCAGUCGUGGGGGAUAACGCAGCGAAAGCUGUGCUAAUACCGCAUACGAUCUGCGGAUGAAAGCGGGGGACCUUCGGGCCUCGCGCGAUUGGAGCGGCCGGUGUCAGAUUAGGUAGUUGGUGGGGUAAAGGCUCACCAAGCCAACGAUCUGUAGCUGGUCUGAGAGGACGACCAGCCACACUGGGACUGAGACACGGCCCAGACUCCUACGGGAGGCAGCAGUGGGGAAUUUUGGACAAUGGGCGCAAGCCUGAUCCAGCAAUGCCGCGUGCAGGAAGAAGGCCUUCGGGUUGUAAACUGCUUUUGUACGGAGCGAAAAGGCUCCCUCUAAUACAGGGGGCUCAUGACGGUACCGUAAGAAUAAGCACCGGCUAACUACGUGCCAGCAGCCGCAGUAAAAC